rnacentral:rRNA from 1 species
CGGACGGGUGAGUAAUGUCUGGGAAACUGCCUGAUGGAGGGGGAUAACUACUGGAAACGGUAGCUAAUACCGCAUAACGUCGCAAGACCAAAGUGGGGGACCUUCGGGCCUCAUGCCAUCAGAUGUGCCCAGAUGGGAUUAGCUAGUAGGUGGGGUAACGGCUCACCUAGGCGACGAUCCCUAGCUGGUCUGAGAGGAUGACCAGCCACACUGGAACUGAGACACGGUCCAGACUCCUACGGGAGGCAGCAGUGGGGAAUAUUGCACAAUGGGCGCAAGCCUGAUGCAGCCAUGCCGCGUGUGUGAAGAAGGCCUUCGGGUUGUAAAGCACUUUCAGCGGGGAGGAAGGCGUUAAGGUUAAUAACCUUGGCGAUUGACGUUACCCGCAGAAGAAGCACCGGCUAACUCCGUGCCAGCAGCCGCGGUAAUACGGAGGGUGCAAGCGUU